GAUGAACGCUGGCGGCGUGCCUAAUACAUGCAAGUCGAGCGAACGGACGAGAAGCUUGCUUCUCGGAUGUUAGCGGCGGACGGGUGAGUAACACGUGGAUAACCUACCUAUAAGACUGGGAUAACUUCGGGAAACCGGCGCUAAUACCGGAUAAUAUUUUGAACCGCAGGGUUCAAAAGUGAAAGACGGUCUUGCUGGCACUUAUAGAUGGAUCCGCGCUGCAUUAGCUAGUUGGGAAGGUAACGGCUUACCAAGGCAACGAUGCGUAGACGACCUGAGGGGGGGGUCGGCCACACGGGAACUGGGCCACGGUCCAUACUCCUACGGGAGGCACCAGUAGGGAAUCUGACGCAAUGGGCGAAAGCCUUGCGGAGCAACGCCGCGUGAGUGAUGAAGGUCUUCGGAUCGUAAAACUCUGUUAUUAGGUAAGAACAUAUGUGUCAGUUACUGUGCACAGCGUGACGGUACCUAAUCAGAAAGCCACGGCUAACUACGUG
rnacentral:rRNA from 1 species